AAACCGACAGGGCAGCGGAGGGCCCUGCCCUGCCCUGCCUGCCAGGGGGCGGCGAGGCCGCCUGCCGCCACCGCCUGCGCGAGGGACUGCAGCUGUGCAAGGCGCACGGGCUCAUGAGAGUUGCCUCCACCGCCUUGCCUCCAUCACCACACCUUGCCUCAUCAAAUGUUUACAGCAAUAAUUCAGAGCUUCAAACAUCUGAGAUGAGAACCUCCUCAUACCUUAGCUCCAGAACACUCGUU